ensembl:snoRNA
UGGCAUGUGGAAAUGCCUUCUCCUCAUUCCUUGUGGAGCAGGAAUAUAUCCAUGACAUGCUACAUUAAAAAAAGGAGUUUUCAAAAGUGCUCUAAAGCAU